rnacentral:rRNA from 1 species
AGCAGCCGCGGUAAUUCCAGCUCCAAUAGCGUAUAUUAAAGUUGUUGCAGUUAAAAAGCUCGUAGUUGAAUUUCGGGAUCAAGGAAUCGGUCAUGCCUCGGUAUGUACUGGUUUUAUUGGUUCUCACCUUCUAAAGAACCAUAAUGUCAUUUAUUCGGUGUUAUGGGGAAUUAGGACUGUUACCUUGAAAAAAUUAGAGUGUUUAAAGCAAAGCUUACGCUUGAAUACAUUAGCAUGGAAUAAUGAAAUAGGACAUCCGAUUCUAUUUUGUUGGUUUCUAGGAUCGAUGUAAUGAUUAAUAGGGAUAGUUGGGGGCAUUAGUAUUCAAUUGUCAGAGGUGAAAUUCUUGGAUUUAUUGAAGACUAACUACUGCGAAAGCAUUUGCCAAGGAUGUUUUCAUUAAUCAAGAACGAAAGUUAGGGGAUCGAAGACGAUCAGAUACCGUCGUAGUCUUAACCAUAAACUAUGCCGACUAGGGAUCGGAUGAUGUUUAUUUUUUAGUGUACUCAUUCGGCACCUUAC